AUUGAACGCUGGCGGCAUGCCUAACACAUGCAAGUCGAACGGCAGCACGGCAGUAGCAAUACUGUGGGUGGCGAGUGGCGGACGGGUGAGGAAUACGUCGGAAUCUGCCCAGUCGUGGGGGAUAACUAGCCGAAAGGUUAGCUAAUACCGCAUACGACCGAGAGGUGAAAGCGGGGGACCGCAAGGCCUCGCGCGAUUGGAUGAGCCGACGUCGGAUUAGCUAGUUGGUGGGGUAAAGGCCCACCAAGGCGACGAUCCGUAGCUGGUCUGAGAGGAUGAUCAGCCACACUGGAACUGAGACACGGUCCAGACUCCUACGGGAGGCAGCAGUGGGGAAUAUUGGACAAUGGGCGCAAGCCUGAUCCAGCCAUCCCGCGUGAAGGAUUAAGGCCCUCUGGUUGUAAACUUCUUUUCUUUGGGACAAAAACUCCGUUUACUACGGAGCUUGAAGGUACCAGAGGAAUAAGCACCGGCUAACUCCGUGCCAGCAGCCGCGGUAAAGUCG
rnacentral:rRNA from 1 species